rnacentral:miRNA from 14 species
AAAGAGUGUGUGCAUUGCUUCUCGGCCUUUUGGCUAAGAUCAAGUGUAGAAAGCGUGUGUGGUAAGACAUUUUCAUCAAAGGACACUCCAUGCUUUCCU